CCUACGGGAGGCAGCAGUGGGGAAUAUUGCACAAUGGGGGAAACCCUGAUGCAGCGACGCAGCGUGCGUGAAGAAGUCUUUCGGUAUGUUAAGCUCUAUCAGCAGGGAAGAAAAUGACGGUACCUGAUUUAGAAGCCCCGGCUAACUACGUGCCAGCAGCCGCGGUAAUACGUAGGGGGCCAGGGUUAUCCGGCUUUACUGGGUGUAAAGGGAGCGUAGACGGCAGCACAGGUCUGGAGUGAAAGGCCGGGGCUUAACCACGGAACUGCUUUGGCAACUGGGCAGCUAGAGUGCAGGAGAGGUAAGUGGAAUUCCUGGUGUAGCGGUGAAAUGCGUAGAUAUUAGGAGGAACACCAGUGGCGAAGGCGGCAUACGGGACUGUAACUGACGUUGAGGCUCGAAAGCGUGGGUAGCAAACAGGAUUAGAUACCCGGGUAGUC
rnacentral:rRNA from 1 species